UUAUCUUUGUUAAUAUCACUUAUAAGGGUGCAUGUAGUCAUAUUAGUACUUUAGUUGUUCAUUAGAAAGUACAUUGGAAAUUGCUGUGCACAUGCUUUACUGCUACUUUGUUACUGAACAUGUGGCUUGUCUGUGAUUGUGUUACACCACUGUUUUCCAUCUUUUUAAGGUAUGUCCAAACAGUGAGGUGCAUGCUGUUCUGUCAAAGUAUCAAGAGGGAAAGUCUCUGGUCCUGUGCAUCCUGCAACUCUUAAUGGCCCUUUUUAAAGAGAACAGAAUCCCUUCUAAUUGAAGCUGAUGUAGCAGCGACUGCAACCGACAUGGAAAGAAAUGGAUUACCGGAUUCACCCGCACUGAUCUUUCAAGGUGAAUCCAUGACCCCAAGCAAAUGGAUGUUAUCAGUCGUAAGGGAAGUUGUCUUUGGCCCAUGUUCAGAGGCAUUUGUUGAGGGCCUGGCAGCAUUGUUUGCGACCUAUUACAACUUAAACCUUGCUUAUCAGGAUGAAGCUGCAUGCACCCUCGAAUUUAUUCAGAGAGGAAUUGUGGGCAUUAACCUGGAAACUGGAUCAAAAGUUGCUGGAAAGAGAGACAAGAAAAUGAAAGUAAUGAACCCACAUGUAUGCACACUGCUGCGAAAGCUAAUGGACUUUGAAUGGCUUGCCAUUU